AACGAACGCUGGCGGCAGGCCUAACACAUGCAAGUCGAACGAGAAGCCACCUUCGGGUGGUGGACAGUGGCAGACGGGUGAGUAACGCGUGGGAACGUGCCUUUCGGUUCGGGAUAACCCAGGGAAACUUGGGCUAAUACCGGAUACGCCCUUCGGGGGAAAGAUUCAUUGCCGAAAGAUCGGCCCGCGUCGGAUUAGCUAGUUGGUAGGGUAAAAGCCUACCAAGGCGACGAUCCGUAGCUGGUCUGAGAGGAUGACCAGCCACACUGGGACUGAGACACGGCCCAGACUCCUACGGGAGGCAG
rnacentral:rRNA from 1 species